GACGGUCGUGCAGUAGAGCUUUCUUCUUCUUUUCUUCGUUUGUUAUGUUGCAAAUCUAAUUCUAGCUAGACCCGCAGCGCCACAGUGCCGGUUACUUUGCAUACCAGCCCGUGCGUGCGUGUGCGUGCGUGUGUGCGUGCUUGGUGAAUCGUAUUCAAAUUUAUUCAUUCCCUGUCGUAAGCGCUCUACUAACAGUUCUCCGUGUGACCUAUCGAUUACUAAUCCACACUUCCGGUGCGGGGAGUGCAGGGAGGGGGGAAAAUCAAUAUAAACCACUGCCACAUGUUUGAACGUGUUUGGUGCAAACACCGGCAGGCGGAAUUAGCCUCCUGCAACUUCCUUCUACAGCGAUAAUAAAUUCAAUCAACUAGAACACGCGGCGUUUGCUGCGAUCAUCCAUCAAGCAGGGGACAGGGCAGGUGGCAAAAGCAACAAACACAACCGUCCCACCCCAAAUGCGGUUGUUUUGAUGCAAGAAAUACGGUUCUUCUACACCCACCACAAGCAGGUUGCCUCCGUGCAGUACACGUGACAAUGUAACGGAUCUACCCCUCACCGUUCACUAUCUGAAACGGAACAGCAGCAGCAGCAGCUAGUAGUGCGAGCUCCUCGUGUACUACCGCGUGGUGGAGGUGGUUGGUUUGCACCACUUGAGUGGGACAAUAAUAGUGGCGGCAAUAACAACAACGGCAACCACUUGCAGCAUGGGAAAGUAGUAACGCUCAAGUCGCAUGGAGUGUGCGUUGGCGUAUAUCAUGCGAUGUUUACUGACCCUGCUGUUUUGUUUACGGAGUGUGUUAUACAACGUGUGCGAGGGAGAGAGAGGUGUGUGAUCGUAGAACAAGAAAGAUUAUGAAUCUCUCUUGCGUUGGGAAGUGAAGUGGCAGCUGGUGCAUCAGAAACACACUUCAAUAAACAAAGGCCUGCUCAGCAAGAGACUUGCAGUAUAGAACCAUCGAUCGUACGGCGACAUAAGCGCGUCUCUCUCGUGUGUAUGGUUCGUGUGCCAAGGAAUGCGUUGUAUUUACAUACAGUGCCGCUCGGACAUACUUCCUAUUUUCGCACUGCCGAUGCACCACCACCCCCAUCAUCAUCUACAUCACUGCAACGAGAGCGGGACCGGAUUCUAACGUCCCGAGACCGUAAACAACGCCGCGAUCAAACUGCAAACUGUAAGCAAUGAAGAAUGCUGCGCUGAACCUGCCCAUAAACGUGACGAGGAUCGUGAACGGCCCUAUCCAGACAAGCUUUAAAAACAGAAGCUCUGCUGCCCAUUCGGGAAAACGAUCGAUUAUGAAGCUUACUUCCGCCCCCGACUGACUAUUGGCUCCCAACAUCUUCUUGUACACCACAAACCAAACACACCGUUGUUGGGCCGCCGUGUGUCUCAAUCACUCGCAGUGUUGAAAGAUAUACAACACACACGUCCGUCUCUCUUCUCCAACGGCAACAAUGUUGGCGCCCCACGGCCGACCGCGCAAUUCGCGGUCGGGGAAUAAAUAUCUAAUUUGCUGCUAAACAGCAACAUCGGCGGCAACCUCUGCUCGGCGUGGUUUAAAGGGGAUGGAAGGGAGGCGGAUGAUAUUUUUCGCGUUAAAAUGCUUUCCUUGGGGGCACGACCACUUUACGCGUAAACAAGCUAGAAUGACGACGACGGUACACACAAGUGGCGGCGCGAGCAACGAACGAACGAAGGUCAACUCGUACUCACCCCUUGGUGGAAGUGCGGUGGUGGUGGUGUGACCAAUCCCUUCAACCACCCAGCUUGUAUACGGUACCGGUACGUUGGGACGAUAGGUAUUAGUUGAAAGGGGUGCUGCAGCUACUGAUAAUAAUGGCACAGCUCACGUUUUAGAUACAUUUGACUACGACAUUGACAGACAAAAACACCAUGCUCGUUACUGAUUACUGUUACCUAGUCUAAUGAUAACAACCUCCUUUGCACCAAUUGUAUCGAAAAAGUCCAUAUUCAUCGUGCCACAGCUGUGUAGAUAUAAGUAUUAGAAGACACCUUGGACAUACGUUGUUGUUUUACAUUGAAAAGACCAACCGAUAAACUCUUUCCUUAUAUCCCUCCAAAGCUUGCUCACAUUCCUCGCAAAACCCAAAACAGGCCGCACGACGACGCCAACCGUACGUACGCGUCUAUUACGUCUACCAUACAAUUGCUAGAAGACGUGCCUUUCUGGCGCUAACCAAUGGCGAAUCGUGAUGCCGCGAUCCUA